CAGAUGGUGUGAGCUUGCAGGCCAGAAGAAGUGUGUCAGAGCUCUGUAGGUGUCUGCAGUGGUGUGCAAGCAUCUGUAGAAGUCUGCCCAGAGAUCUUAUUUGCUUUACCCAAAAUCAAGUUGGAGAGAUGUGUGGAGCCUCAGCCACAGACCCUGACUGUUGGGGGGAUGCUUUCAUGGCAGAAAGCGGAGCUGUUCGAAACCCAGUUCUCCUUGCAAGUGGUUAAGAAUUGGAUUCCCUUUGGAAAAUGGGGACAGAGACAUCUCUCUGCUGCCUGAGUUCGCCUGGUGAAUUCAUGGGGGGAAGGGCAGGAAACUCCCAAAUGACCACAUCUGUACUUAAUAGAAUGAAGAUUAUGGAGGGAAAAGUGAGGUGACUUCAGAGCAGAGAAGUGAUGUUGCAGAGGAAAAAGCUGAACAGGUCUAUUGGGAAGAAAACAAACUCUGGAGGAAAAAUCUGAGGUAAACAAGAGGACACAGGUGACAUUUUCUAUUCAAAAAAGUGAACAAGUCUCUAGGGGAUAAAAAUGAAGAUUGUAGGAGGAAAAAGCUGAGGUGAUUAGGUGGGACAGAGCCGACAUUGUGAAUGGAAAAACAUAAUGUAAUCCAUAGGGGAGAAAAGGAGCAUU